UACAGAGGUCUCAAGCGUUGUUCGGAUUCAUUGGGCGUAAAGGGUGCGUAGGCGGCGCGGUAAGUCGGGGUGUGAAAUCUCGGAGCUUAACUCCGAAACUGCAUUCGAUACUGCCGUGCUUGAGGACUGGAGAGGAGACUGGAAUUUACGGUGUGGCGGUGAAAUGCGUAGAUAUCGUAAGGAAGACCAGUGGCGAAGGCGGGUCUCGUGGACAGUUCCUGACGCUGAGGCACGAAGGUCAGGGGAGCAAACGGG
rnacentral:rRNA from 1 species